rnacentral:ncRNA from 1 species
GCGGCGGGAGAGACCCGCGCAGGCGGGCGCCGAAGGAGCAACCUCCCCGGAAACUCUCAGGCCCCCAUACCGCC